rnacentral:rRNA from 1 species
GACAGUCGUACGCUUCUUUUUCCACCGGAGCUUGCUCCACCGGAAAAAGAAGAGUGGCGAACGGGUGAGUAACACGUGGGUAACCUGCCCAUCAGAAGGGGAUAACACUUGGAAACAGGUGCUAAUACCGUAUAACAAUCGAAACCGCAUGGUUUUGAUUUGAAAGGCGCUUUCGGGUGUCGCUGAUGGAUGGACCCGCGGUGCAUUAGCUAGUUGGUGAGGUAACGGCUCACCAAGGCCACGAUGCAUAGCCGACCUGAGAGGGUGAUCGGCCACAUUGGGACUGAGACACGGCCCAAACUCCUACGGGAGGCAGCAGUAGGGAAUCUUCGGCAAUGGACGAAAGUCUGACCGAGCAACGCCGCGUGAGUGAAGAAGGUUUUCGGAUCGUAAAACUCUGUUGUUAGAGAAGAACAAGGAUGAGAGUAACUGUUCAUCCCUUGACGGUAUCUAACCAGAAAGCCACGGCUAACUACGUGCCAGCAGCCGCGGUAAUACGUAGGUGGCAAGCGUUGUCCGGAUUUAUUGGGCGUAAAGCGAGCGCAGGCGGUUUCUUAAGUCUGAUGUGAAAGCCCCCGGCUCAACCGGGGAGGGUCAUUGGAAACUGGGAGACUUGAGUGCAGAAGAGGAGAGUGGAAUUCCAUGUGUAGCGGUGAAAUGCGUAGAUAUAUGGAGGAACACCAGUGGCGAAGGCGGCUCUCUGGUCUGUAACUGACGCUGAGGCUCGAAAGCGUGGGGAGCAAACAGGAUUAGAUACCCUGGUAGUCCACGCCGUAAACGAUGAGUGCUAAGUGUUGGAGGGUUUCCGCCCUUCAGUGCUGCAGCUAACGCAUUAAGCACUCCGCCUGGGGAGUACGACCGCAAGGUUGAAACUCAAAGGAAUUGACGGGGCCCGCACAAGCGGUGGAGCAUGUGGUUUAAUUCG